rnacentral:sRNA from 1 species
CCGGGCGUCGGCCUGUGGG